rnacentral:rRNA from 1 species
GAUUGAACGCUGGCGGCAUGCCUUACACAUGCAAGUCGAACGGCAGCACGGGUGCUUGCACCUGGUGGCGAGUGGCGAACGGGUGAGUAAUACAUCGGAACAUGUCCUGUAGUGGGGGAUAGCCCGGCGAAAGCCGGAUUAAUACCGCAUACGAUCUACGGAUGAAAGCGGGGGACCUUCGGGCCUCGCGCUAUAGGGUUGGCCGAUGGCUGAUUAGCUAGUUGGUGGGGUAAAGGCCUACCAAGGCGACGAUCAGUAGCUGGUCUGAGAGGACGACCAGCCACACUGGGACUGAGACACGGCCCAGACUCCUACGGGAGGCAGCAGUGGGGAAUUUUGGACAAUGGGCGAAAGCCUGAUCCAGCAAUGCCGCGUGCGUGAAGAAGGCCUUCGGGUUGUAAAGCACUUUUGUCCGGAAAGAAAUCCUUGGCUCUAAUACAGUCGGGGGAUGACGGUACCGGAAGAAUAAGCACCGGCUAACUACGUGCCAGCAGCCGCGGUAAUACGUAGGGUGCGAGCGUUAAUCGGAAUUACUGGGCGUAAAGCGUGCGCAGCGGUUUGCUAAGACCGAUGUGAAAUCCCCGGGCUCAACCUGGGAACUGCAUUGGUGACUGGCAGGCUAGAGUAUGGCAGAGGGGGGUAGAAUUCCACGUGUAGCAGUGAAAUGCGUAGAGAUGUGGAGGAAUACCGAUGGCGAAGGCAGCCCCCUGGGCCAAUACUGACGCUCAUGCACGAAAGCGUGGGGAGCAAACAGGAUUAGAUACCCUGGUAGUCCACGCCCUAAACGAUGUCAACUAGUUGUUGGGGAUUCAUUUCCUUAGUAACGUAGCUAACGCGUGAAGUUGACCGCCUGGGGAGUACGGUCGCAAGAUUAAAACUCAAAGGAAUUGACGGGGACCCGCACAAGCGGUGGAUGAUGUGGAUUAAUUCGAUGCAACGCGAAAAACCUUACCUACCCUUGACAUGGUCGGAAUCCCGCUGAGAGGUGGGAGUGCUCGAAAGAGAACCGGCGCACAGGUGCUGCAUGGCUGUCGUCAGCUCGUGUCGUGAGAUGUUGGGUUAAGUCCCGCAACGAGCGCAACCCUUGUCCUUAGUUGCUACGCAAGAGCACUCUAAGGAGACUGCCGGUGACAAACCGGAGGAAGGUGGGGAUGACGUCAAGUCCUCAUGGCCCUUAUGGGUAGGGCUUCACACGUCAUACAAUGGUCGGAACAGAGGGUUGCCAACCCGCGAGGGGGAGCUAAUCCCAGAAAACCGAUCGUAGUCCGGAUUGCACUCUGCAACUCGAGUGCAUGAAGCUGGAAUCGCUAGUAAUCGCGGAUCAGCAUGCUGCGGUGAAUACGUUCCCGGGUCUUGUACACACC